UACGUAGGGUGCAAGCGUUGUCCGGAAUUAUUGGGCGUAAAGAGCUCGUAGGCGGUUUGUCGCGUCUGCUGUGAAAACUCGGGGCUUAACUCCGGGCCUGCAGUGGGUACGGGCAGACUAGAGUGCGGUAGGGGAGACUGGAAUUCCUGGUGUAGCGGUGAAAUGCGCAGAUAUCAGGAGGAACACCGGUGGCGAAGGCGGAUCUCUGGGCCUGUCCUGACGCUGAGGCGCGAAAGCUAGGGGAGCGAACAGG
rnacentral:rRNA from 1 species